GAGUGUUGGAAAGAGGAGAAUAAGAGAGGAAAUGGAAAGGAGGAGUGGAGUGGAGAGAUCUACGGCUCUGACAGCCGCUGUUUCAUAUCGAACCUCACCAGACAGAAUCAUUCGACCCCCAAUGCGUCAAUGGCAGGCCAUUGUUACAGACACAGAUGUACUGGAAUAAAUAAGUAUGAAAUCCAGGUUAUGGAUUCUGAUUGGUUGGACUGUCCAGCAGGAAAACGUAUUGAGGUGUCUGGUUAUCAGGGUUUCAUUUUCUGCCCAGACAAGAGAUUAUGUAUAUAUAAUGAUUUAAGCCCUCCCACUUCAAGACAACAUGCAAAUGUACUUCCUAAUGCUGGUCCAUCUUGUGAGAG